rnacentral:lncRNA from 1 species
UGCUGAGGGUGCACUUGACCUCAAUGUCACAGAUGAAGAUAUUAAAGAGAACUGAUCUCGGGGGACUACUCAUCACUUAACUCCAUCUAGAUAUGGAGCCAAUGACCACUGUUAUCUGGACUUGAUUCUGCAGCCAGUUCUUCCUCUAUUGAACAGCCCACUCUUUAAAUCCAUAUCUUUCCAAUUUGGACAGAAGGCUGUUGUGAGUACUGCAUCAAAGACCUUACUGAAGUCUAGAUAGAUGACAUCAGAGGCUCUUCCCUUGUCCAUUGAUGCAGUGACACCAUCAUAGAAAGACACUAGGUUAGUGAAAGAGGAUUUGCCCUUGGUGAAGCCUUGCUGGUUUUCCUGUAUCAACUCCCUGCCUUCCUUGUGCCUUAGUAGUUUCCAGAAGGAUCUGUUCCACUAUCUUUCCUGGCACAGAAGUGAGACUGACAGCUCAGUAUUUCCUGGGGUCAUCCUUUGAAGUCUUUAGAAUCAUAGAUCCAUUUUUAUAAUAUGAAGAUACAGUUUUUCUGUGUUUCAGUGAUUGCAGUGUGGUUCAGUUUUAAUACAUAUCUAUUUAUCUGAUCAAAUGUUUUAACAUUUGUGAUAACUUUACUGUAAUGGUGACUUUGACUGCUUUUCCUUAUUUAGGGUUGAUCUGAUUUUUGAUUCUAGAGUAAGAUUCAAUGUCCUUGCUAACCAUAUGGAAUGCAGAAACUUCCUUCAACCUAUUAUUCUUUCGAUACCUGAUGAAUUUUCAGAGAUCGUCUCGGAGUUGUGUUGGAAGACAUCAAGCACUGGGACUUGUUAGAUAGACUGUGCAUAGACUGAUAAAUUUCUUGAUGCAUUAUCUGUUUCUAAAUGAUCAGUGGACUGCCAGCACACACAUUCUUCAUAGCACUUUUAAGCAACAGCAUAAUAUCGUUAUGUAAGUACUAAUAUUUAUGGGAAAUUAUUCAAGAGAUUCAAUGAAUUUUCUCUUCUAAGAAGAAACUUAUCUGGAAUUGACCUAGAUGAACUCUUUUAGCCUAAAAUUUAAUUAAUUUGACUUGUCUAUUCUUUGAAAGAACAGGCUUGAGC